rnacentral:rRNA from 1 species
UAGUUGGUAAGGUAACGGCUUACCAAGGCGACGAUCAGUAGCCGACCUGAGAGGGUGAUCGGCCACACUGGAACUGAGACACGGUCCAGACUCCUACGGGAGGCAGCAGUGGGGAAUAUUGCACAAUGGGCGCAAGCCUGAUGCAGCAACGCCGCGUGAGCGAUGAAGGCCUUCGGGUCGUAAAGCUCUGUCCUCAAGGAAGAAAAAAAUGACGGUACUUGAGGAGGAAGCCCCGGCUAACUACGUGCCAGCAAGCCGCGGUAAUACGUAGGGGCAAGCGUUAUCCGGAAUCACUGGGCGUAAAGGGUGCGUAGGCGGUUUUUCAAGUCAGAAAGUGAAAGGCUAUGGCUCAACCAUAGUAAGCUUUUUGAAACUGUAAAACUUGAGUGCAGGAGAGGAAAGUGGAAUUCCUAGUGUAGAGGUGAAAUUCGUAGAUAUUAGGAGGGAACACCAGUGGCGAAGGCGACUUUCUGGAACUGUAACUGACGCUGAGCACGAAAGCGUGGGGAGCGAACAGGAUUAGAUACCCUGGUAGUCCCACGCCGUAAACGAUGAAUACUAGGUGUUGGGGGGUCAAACCUCGGUGCCGCAGCUAACGCAUUAAGUAUUCCGCCUGGGGAGUACGCACGCAAGUGUGAAACUCAAAGGAAUUGACGGGGACCCGCACAAGUAGCGGAGCAUGUGGUUUAAUUCGAAGCAACGCGAAGAACCUUACCAAAUCUUGACAUCCUAAUGACUGGUCCUUAAUCGGAUCUUCUCUUCGGAGCAUUAGUGACAGGUGGUGCAUGGUUGUCGUCAGCUCGUGUCGUGAGAUGUUGGGUUAAGUCCCGCAACGAGCGCAACCCUUGUCUUUAGUUGCCAUCAGGUUAAGCUGGGCACUCUAGAGAGACUGCCGUGGACAACACGGAGGAAGGUGGGGAUGACGUCAAAUCAUCAUGCCCCUUAUGAUUUGGGCUACACACGUGCUACAAUGGUCGGUACAACGGGCAGCUAAAGAGUAAUCUGGAGCGAAUCCUAAAAAGCCGAUCCCAGUUCGGAUUGUGGGCUGCAACUCGCCCACAUGAAGUUGGAGUUACUAGUAAUCGUGGAUCAGAAUGUCGCGGUGAAUGCGUUCCCGGGUCUUGUACACACCGCCCGUCACACCAUGGAAGUUGGGGGGACCCGAAGCCUGUGAUCUAACCAUUUAUGGAGGAAGCAGUCGAAGGUAAAACCAAUGACUAGGGUG